rnacentral:sRNA from 1 species
CUAUCAUUGCUAUAUAUCAUCACUAUAUAUCAUCUAUAUAUCAUUGCUAGCUAUCAUCGCUAGCUAUCAUCAAUAGGUAUUAUUGCUAUAUAUCAUCGCUAUUGCUAGCUAUCAUUGCUAUAUAUCAUCACUACAUAUCAUUGCUAUAUAUCAUUGCUAUUGCUACAUAUCAUUAUUAUCUAUCAUUGCUGUCACUAUAUAUCAUUGCUAUUGCUACAUAUCAUUGCUAUACAUCAUCACUAUAUAUCAUCACUAUAUAUCAUUGCUAGCUAUCAUCACUAUAUAUCAUUGCUAGCUAUCAUUCAUUCAAACAGAUGAGCAGGUAAAUAGACAGAUAGACAGUCAGAUAACCAUUUAAUAAAUCAAUAUUAUCAGAUAGAUAAAUAGCUAGAUGAUGAUGUUUAUUC